rnacentral:tRNA from 1 species
GCUCGGUUGGUUAAGUGGUUAAACAUCUGCCUUCGGCGCAGGUCACCAUCUCCGGAUCCUGGGAUCAAGCCCCGAGUCGGGCU